GCUGGCGGCUGCCUAAUACAUGCAAGUCGAGCGAACAGAAGGGAGCUUGCUCCCGGAUGUUAGCGGCGGACGGGUGAGUAACACGUGGGUAACCUGCCUGUAAGACUGGGAUAACUCCGGGAAACCGGAGCUAAUACCGGAUAGUUCCUUGAACCGCAUGGUUCAAGGAUGAAAGACGGUUUCGGCUGUCACUUACAGAUGGACCCGCGGCGCAUUAGCUAGUUGGUGGGGUAAUGGCUCACCAAGGCGACGAUGCGUACCGACCUGAGAGGGUGAUCGGCCACACUGGGACUGAGACACGGCCCAGACUCCUACGGGAGGCAGCAGUAGGGAAUCUUCCGCAAUGGACGAAAGUCUGACGGAGCAACGCCGCGUGAGUGAUGAAGGUUUUCGGAUCGUAAAGCUCUGUUGUUAGGGAAGAACAAGUGCGAGAGUAACUGCUCGCACCUUGACGGUACCUAACCAGAAAGCCACGGCUAACUACGUGCCAGCAGCCGCGGUAAUACGUAGGUGGCAAGCGUUGUCCGGAAUUAUUGGGCGUAAAGGGCUCGCAGGCGGUUUCUUAAGUCUGAUGUGAAACCCCCGGCUCAACCGGGGAGGUCUAUUGGAAACUGGGAAACUUGAGUGCAGAAGAGGAGAGUGGAAUUCCACGUGUAGCGGUGAAAUGCGUAGAGAUGUGGAGGAACACCAGUGGCGAAGGCGACUCUCUGGGCUGUAACUGACGCUGAGGAGCGAAAGCGUGGGGAGCGAACAGGAUUAGAUACCCUGGUAAUCCACGCCGUAAACGAUGAGUGCUAAGUGUUAGGGGGUUUCCGCCCCUUAGUGCUGCAGCUAGCGCAUUAAGCACUCCG
rnacentral:rRNA from 1 species